GGUUAAGUGACUAAGCGUACACGGUGGAUGCCUAGGCAGUCAGAGGCGAUGAAGGACGUGCUAAUCUGCGAUAAGCGUCGGUGAGCUGAUAUGAAGCAUUAUUAGCCGGCGAUGUCCGAAUGGGGAAACCCAGUGCAAUCCGUUGCACUAUCGUUAAGUGAAUCCAUAGCUUAACGAGGCGAACCAGGGGAACUGAAACAUCUAAGUACCCUGAGGAAAAGAAAUCAACCGAGAUUCCCCCAGUAGCGGCGAGCGAACGGGGAAGAGCCCAGAACCUGAAUCAGUUUGUGCAUUAGUGGAAGCGUCUGGAAAGUCGCGCGAUACAGGGUGAUAGCCCCGUACACGAAGGUGCACAGCUGUGAGUUCGAUGAGUAGGGCGGGACACGUGUUAUCCUGUCUGAAUAUGGGGGGACCAUCCUCCAAGGCUAAAUACUCCUGACUGACCGAUAGUGAACCAGUACCGUGAGGGAAAGGCGAAAAGAACCCCGGCGAGGGGAGUGAAAUAGAACCUGAAACCGUGUACGUACAAGCAGUGGGAGCAUCCUUUUGGGUGUGACUGCGUACCUUUUGUAUAAUGGGUCAGCGACUUAUAUUUUGUAGCAAGGUUAACCGAAUAGGGGAGCCGUAGGGAAACCGAGUCUUAACUGGGCGUCUAGUUGCAAGGUAUAGACCCGAAACCCGGUGAUCUAGCCAUGGGCAGGUUGAAGGUUGGGUAACACUAACUGGAGGACCGAACCGACUAAUGUUGAAAAAUUAGCGGAUGACUUGUGGCUGGGGGUGAAAGGCCAAUCAAACCGGGAGAUAGCUGGUUCUCCCCGAAAGCUAUUUAGGUAGCGCCUCGUGAACUCAUCUUCGGGGGUAGAGCACUGUUUCGGCUAGGGGGUCAUCCCGACUUACCAACCCGAUGCAAACUACGAAUACCGAAGAAUGUUAUCACGGGAGACACACGGCGGGUGCUAACGUCCGUCGUGAAGAGGGAAACAACCCAGACCGCCAGCUAAGGUCCCAAAGUCAUGGUUAAGUGGGAAACGAUGUGGGAAGGCACAGACAGCCAGGAUGUUGGCUUAGAAGCAGCCAUCAUUUAAAGAAAGCGUAAUAGCUCACUGGUCGAGUCGGCCUGCGCGGAAGAUGUAACGGGGCUAAACCAUGCACCGAAGCUGCGGCAGCGACGCUUAGGCGUUGUUGGGUAGGGGAGCGUUCUGUAAGCCGUUGAAGGUGGCCUGUGAGGGCUGCUGGAGGUAUCAGAAGUGCGAAUGCUGACAUAAGUAACGAUAAAGCGGGUGAAAAGCCCGCUCGCCGGAAGACCAAGGGUUCCUGUCCAACGUUAAUCGGGGCAGGGUAAGUCGACCCCUAAGGCGAGGCCGAAAGGCGUAGUCGAUGGGAAACAGGUUAAUAUUCCUGUACUUGGUGUUAUUGCGAAGGGGGGACGGAGAAGGCUAGACCGGCCGGGCGACGGUUGUCCCGGUUUAAGCGUGUAGGUGUGAUGACCUGGCAAAUCCGGUCAUCUUUAACACUGAGGCGUGAUGACGAGGCACUACGGUGCUGAAGUGGUUAAUGCCCUGCUUCCAGGAAAAGCCUCUAAGCUCCAGAUAACACUGAAUCGUACCCCAAACCGACACAGGUGGUCAGGUAGAGAAUACCAAGGCGCUUGAGAGAACUCGGGUGAAGGAACUAGGCAAAAUGGUGCCGUAACUUCGGGAGAAGGCACGCUGGCAUGUAGGUGAAGUCCCUCGCGGAUGGAGCCGAAGCCAGUCGAAGAUACCAGCUGGCUGCAACUGUUUAAUAAAAACACAGCACUCUGCAAACACGAAAGUGGACGUAUAGGGUGUGACGCCUGCCCGGUGCUGGAAGGUUAAUUGAUGGGGUCAGCCGCAAGGCGAAGCUCUUGAUCGAAGCCCCAGUAAACGGCGGCCGUAACUAUAACGGUCCUAAGGUAGCGAAAUUCCUUGUCGGGUAAGUUCCGACCUGCACGAAUGGCGUAAUGAUGGCCAGGCUGUCUCCACCCGAGACUCAGUGAAAUUGAACUCGCUGUGAAGAUGCAGUGUACCCGCGGCAAGACGGAAAGACCCCGUGAACCUUUACUAUAGCUUGACACUGAACAUUGAACCUUGAUGUGUAGGAUAGGUGGGAGGCUUUGAAGUGUGGACGCCAGUCUGCAUGGAGCCGACCUUGAAAUACCACCCUUUAAUGUUUGAUGUUCUAACCUGGUCCCGUGAUCCGGGAUAGGGACAGUGUCUGGUGGGUAGUUUGACUGGGGCGGUCUCCUCCCAAAGAGUAACGGAGGAGCACGAAGGUUAGCUAAUCCUGGUCGGACAUCAGGAGGUUAGUGCAAAGGCAUAAGCUAGCUUGACUGCGAGAGUGACGGCUCGAGCAGGUGCGAAAGCAGGUCUUAGUGAUCCGGUGGUUCUGAAUGGAAGGGCCAUCGCUCAACGGAUAAAAGGUACUCCGGGGAUAACAGGCUGAUACCGCCCAAGAGUUCAUAUCGACGGCGGUGUUUGGCACCUCGAUGUCGGCUCAUCACAUCCUGGGGCUGAAGUAGGUCCCAAGGGUAUGGCUGUUCGCCAUUUAAAGUGGUACGCGAGCUGGGUUUAGAACGUCGUGAGACAGUUCGGUCCCUAUCUGCCGUGGGCGUUGGAAGAUUGAGAGGGGCUGCUCCUAGUACGAGAGGACCGGAGUGGACGCACCGCUGGUGUUCGGGUUGUGAUGCCAAUUGCAUUGCCCGGUAGCUACGUGCGGAAAAGAUAAGCGCUGAAAGCAUCUAAGCGCGAAACUUGCCUCGAGAUGAGUCUUCCCUUGGACCUUGAGUCCACUGAAGGAACGUUUAAGACUAAGACGUUGAUAGGCUGGGUGUGUAAGCGUAGCGAUACGUUGAGCUAACCAGUACUAAUGAUCCGAGAGGCUUAACCUU
rnacentral:rRNA from 1 species